rnacentral:rRNA from 1 species
GACGAACGCUGGCGGCGUGCUUAACACAUGCAAGUCGAACGGAAAGGCCCUGCUUUUGUGGGGUGCUCGAGUGGCGAACGGGUGAGUAACACGUGAGUAACCUGCCCUUGACUUUGGGAUAACUUCAGGAAACUGGGGCUAAUACCGGAUAGGAGCUCCUGCUGCAUGGUGGGGGUUGGAAAGUUUCGGCGGUUGGGGAUGGACUCGCGGCUUAUCAGCAUGUUGGUGGGGUAGUGGCUUACCAAGGCUUUGACGGGUAGCCGGCCUGAGAGGGUGACCGGCCACAUUGGGACUGAGAUACGGCCCAGACUCCUACGGGAGGCAGCAGUGGGGAAUAUUGCACAAUGGGCGGAAGCCUGAUGCAGCAACGCCGCGUGCGGGAUGACGGCCUUCGGGUUGUAAACCGCUUUCGCCUGUGACGAAGCGUGAGUGACGGUAAUGGGUAAAGAAGCACCGGCUAACUACGUG